rnacentral:rRNA from 1 species
UACGGAGGGUGCGAGCGUUGUCCGGAAUCACUGGGCGUAAAGGGCGCGUAGGCGGCGCGGAUAGUCGGCGGUGAAAGCCCGGAGCUCAGCUCCGGGUCGGCCGUCGAUACUUCCGGGCUUGAGCACUGUAGAGGCAGAUGGAAUUCCGGGUGUAGCGGUGGAAUGCGUAGAGAUCCGGAAGAACACCGGUGGCGAAGGCGGUCUGCUGGGCAGUUGCUGACGCUGAUGCGCGACAGCGUGGGGAGCAAACAGG